rnacentral:rRNA from 1 species
UACAGAGGUGGCAAGCGUUGUUCGGAAUUACUGGGCGUAAAGGGCGCGUAGGCGGCCUUCUAAGUCAGACGUGAAAUCCCCCGGCUUAACCUGGGAACUGCGUCUGAUACUGGGAGGCUUGAGUAUGGGAGAGGGAUGUAGAAUUCCAGGUGUAGCGGUGAAAUGCGCAGAUAUCGGGAGGAACACCAAUUGCGAAGGCAGCUCGCUGGGACGUUACUGACGCUGAGACGCGAAAGCGUGGGGAGCAAACAGG